rnacentral:rRNA from 1 species
AUGCAAAGAAAAAAGGCUAAAAGAAAUAUCAAGAUAAGCAGAUGCGGUUGUGAGGCUAUGAUGGGAUUGAAGAGGCAAAUUGACAACAAGUAUAAGGUCGUCCAGUUUGUUGAAUCACAUACACACCAACUUGUCUCACCAAAUAAGAGGCAUCUCAUCAGGUCAAAUAGAGAGGUAACUACUGAUUUGAGAAACAAGCUAUUUACAUGCAGUAAGGCAUUGCUUGGCACAUCAAAAACUUUUCGCUUGCUUAGCAUAGAGAAGGGUGGGCAAGGAAACAUUGGUUGCACAAAACGUGACUUACAAAACUGUCAACGUGAUUUCAAAGCAGCGAUUAAGGGAGCAGAUGGACAACUUAUAGUAGAUAUAAUGGAAAAUAAAAAGAAGGCCAAUCCAGCGUUCUACUUUGAUUACCAGGUAGAUGAGAACAAUAAGUUGACCAAUAUUUUCUGGGCAGAUAGUAUAUGUAGAAAGAACUAUUCAUUGUUCGGUGAUGUUGUGUCAUUCGACUCUACAUAUCGAUUCAACAAGUAUGACUUGGUAUUUGCGCCUUUUACUGGAGUUAACCAUCACAAAUCUUGUGUUACAUUUGGUGCUGCAUUUUUGUCAAAUGAGAAGAUUGCAUCAUUCAAAUGGUUAUUUCAGACUUUCUUGAAAGCAAUGUGUGGGGCUGCACCAAAGCUAAUCAUAACCGAUGAGGACCAAAGCAUGAGAAGAGGAAUAGAAGCUAUAUUUCCGAACACAAAGCAUCGACUUUGUAUGUGGCAUAUUCUGAUGAAACUCCCUGAAAAAGUUGGACCCAUCUUGAGAAAUAAUGAAGAUUUUAAACCAAAAUUCAUGGCGUGUGUGUGUGGAUCAGAGACUCCAGAUGAGUUCGAAUCACGGUGGUCUUCAAUAAUUUCUGAGUUUGGCUUAGAGGAUAAUGAAUGGUUGAAAGAAAAGUAUGAUUUACGCCAAUCAUGGAUUCCAGCAUACUUUAUGGAGUUCUCCCUUGGCGGAAUAUUGCGCACAACAUCAAGAUCUGAGAGUGAGAAUGCAUUUUUCCGUCACUUCACUAACCGGAAACUUGCCUUGAUUGAGUUUUGGGUAAGAUUUGAAACCGCUUUAGAAGAGCAACGACAAAAGGAGUUGCAGGAGGAUAAUUCUACCCUUCAUACCUUGCCAAUACUUCAUACUUGUUGGGGAAUUGAGGCUCAUGCCAGAGAAGUGUAUACCCACAACAUUUUUGUUGCUUUCCAACUUGAGGUGGUGGCUGCUAGGGACCGUCGCCAUGUAAAAACUAUUGAGCAGGUUGGUGAUAUCCGAACCACGAGCAUUGCCGAUCUUAGUGGCAGGAUAAGAGUGGUCUGUUACGACACUAAUACGAAAGUUGCACAAUGUACUUGUCGAAUGUUCGAGUCACUAGGCAUCCUUUGCUCUCACAUCAUUGUUGUCUUAAAAAUGAUGGGUGUAAUGAAAUACCAAGACAAUAUGUGCUGCAUAGAUGGACUAAAAUGGCUGCACGACAUCUUUCCUAUGAUGCAAAUGGAAAUGAGCUGGAAGGGUCAUCUACAUCCCUUUCACCUACCAUGA